AGGACGAACGCUGGCGGCGUGCCUAACACAUGCAAGUGGAGCGACGAACCAGGCUUCGGCCUGGGGCAAAGCCGCGAACGGGUGAGUAACACGUGGGUAACCUGCCCCGAUGAUUGGGACAACCCGAGGAAACUCGGGCUAAUACCGAAUGUGCCCUACGGCCAUAAGGCCGCUGGGGAAAGGAAGCUUCGGCCUCCGCAUCGGGAUGGGCCCGCGGCCCAUUAGCUUGUUGGUGAGGUAACGGCUCACCAAGGCGACGAUGGGUAGCUGGUCUGAGAGGACGAUCAGCCACACUGGGACUGAGACACGGCCCAGACUCCUACGGGAGGCAGCAGUGGGGAAUAUUGGACAAUGGGCGAAAGCCUGAUCCAGCAAUGCCGCGUGAGUGAUGAAGGCCUUAGGGUUGUAAAGCUCUUUUACCAGGGAUGAUAAUGACAGUACCUGGAGAAUAAGCUCCGGCUAACUCCGCGCCAGCAGCCGCGGU
rnacentral:rRNA from 1 species